UAGAUUUUUAUUAAAUAUUAUAUUUAUUUUAUAUUGAAAAAAAUAUUUUUUAUUUUAGUAAUUUUAUAGAAAAAAAGUUUAUUUUUAUAGUUUAUAGUACUGUGAAGGAAUUUAAUUUAUUAUUUUUGAAGUUGUUUUAUUAAUGUACCUUUUGUAUCAGGGUUUAUUAAAUUUUAUAAAUUUAUAAUUUAUUUCUCGAAAUUUCAAGAUUUAUAUUUUUAUGUUAGUAAAUGUUAUAAUAUUUUUUAAAAUAAAAAUAUAGAGAAUAUAUUUUAUUCAAUUGAAAAUAUCUAGUUUUUUAAGAAAUGAGUUUAAUUCAUAAAUAAUUGUUUUAAUUAAUAUAUUUUAAUUUUAUUUAUCUUUAAUAAAGGAUAAGCUUUGUUAAAUUCUAAAAUAGUAAUUUUUAUUAUUUUUUGUAGGAUUAAAAAUUUCCAUCAUUUAUUUUGUAAAAAUUAUUUUUAAUUUUAUUUUAAUUUAUUAUUUGUUUAGAUUUUUAUUAAAAUUUAUAUAUAAAUUUUAUUAUAUAGUAAAAAUGAUAAAAUUAGUAUUUUUUUAAAUUAAAUUAUAGUAAUUCGGCAAAUAUAAUUUUCACCUGUUUAACAAAAACAUGGUUUUUUGUUUAUAUAAAAAAUUUGGCCUGCCCAGUGAUUAUUAAAUGGCUGCAGUAUAUUGACUGUACAAAGGUAGCAUAAUCAUUUGUCUCUUAAUUGGAGUCUGGAAUGAAUGGUUGGAUGAAAAAUUUACUUUCUUUAUUUUAAAUAAAUAAUUUGAUUUUUGUAUUAAAAAGUAUAAAUAUUAAUAAAGGACGAGAAGACCCUAUAGAACUUUAUUUUUUUAUAUUAGUUAUUUUUUAGUAAAUAAUUAUUAAUUAAUAGUAGAAAAUUUUGUUGGGGUGACAAAAAAAAAUUUAUAACUUUUUUUAAUUUAUUCAUAUAUAUGUGAUUUAUUGAUCCUUUAUUAAGGAAAAAAGAUUAAGUUACCUUAGGGAUAACAGCGUUAUUAUUUCAGAGAGUUCAUAUUGAUGAAAUAGUUUGCGACCUCGAUGUUGGAUUAAAAUUAAUUUCAGGAGUAGAAAAUUGAAAUAUUAGGUCUGUUCGACCUUUAAAUUUUUACAUGAUCUGAGUUCAGACCGGCGUGAGCCAGGUCGGUUUCUAUCCUUAUUUUUAUUAUAAAUUUUUAGUACGAAAGGACCAAUUUUUAAAAAUAAUUUUUUUAUUUGAUUUAUAUU
rnacentral:rRNA from 1 species